rnacentral:rRNA from 1 species
GCUGGCGGCGUGCUUACACAUGCAAGUCGAGCGGAGUUUAUUGGGAGACGAUUUCGAUCUGAUCCUAGUUAAACUUAGCGGCGGACGGGUGAGUAACACGUGGGCGACCUACCCUUAAGACUGGGAUAACAACCCGAAAGGGUUGCUAAUACCGGAUACCUUCUCUUAGCUGCAUGGCCGGGGGAAGAAAAGAUUUAUCGCUUAAGGAUGGGCCCGCGUCCCAUUAGCUAGUUGGUGAGGUAACGGCUCACCAAGGCGACGAUGGGUAGCUGGUCUGAGAGGACGAUCAGCCACACUGGAACUGAGACACGGCCCAGACUCCUACGGGAGGCAGCUGUGGGGAAUCUUAGACAAUGGGCGCAAGCCUGAUCUAGCCAUGCCGCGUGAGUGACGAAGGCCUUAGGGUCGUAAAGCUCUUUCGCCAGAGAUGAUAAUGACAGUAUCUGGUAAAGAAACCCCGGCUAACUCCGUGCCAGCAGCCGCGGUAAUACGGAGGGGGUUAGCGUUGUUCGGAAUUACUGGGCGUAAAGCGCACGUAGGCGGAUUGGAAAGUAUGGGGUGAAAUCCCAGGGCUCAACCCCGGAACUGCCUCCAAAACUAUCAGUCUGGAGUUCGAGAGAGGUGAGUGGAAUUGCGAGUGUAGAGGUGAAAUUCGUAGAUAUUCGCAGGAACACCAGUGGCGAAGGCGGCUCACUGGCUCGAUACUGACGCUGAGGUGCGAAAGUGUGGGGAGCAACAGGAUUAGAUACCCUGGUAGUCCACACCGUAAACGAUGAAUGC